GACGUAGGGGACGAGCGUUGUCCGGAUUCAUUGGGCGUAAAGAGCGCGUAGGCGGUUUGGUAAGUCGGACGUGAAAAUCCGGGGCUCAACCCCGGACGUGCAUCCGAAACUGCCCGACUAGAGGUAGGUAGGGGAGAUCGGAAUUCCUGGUGUAACGGUGAAAUGCGCAGAUAUCAGGAGGAACACCGGUGGCGAAGGCGGAUCUCUGGGCCUUACCUGACACUGAGGGACGAAAGCUAGGGGAGCGAAUGGG
rnacentral:rRNA from 1 species